AGGGCUGUAGCUCAGUGGUAGAGCAUCUGUUCUAAAUGCAAAAGGUCCCAGGUGCAACCCCUGGCAUUCCUA